rnacentral:lncRNA from 1 species
UUUAACACCAUGGAAAGCGCCGAGUGUGUUAUGGUGGUGGUCCAAUGAAGGAGACCAGUGAAAGUUGGGGACAGCUUUGGUCACCCUUUCUUCAGUGACCCUAGAUUUCUCCGAGAAAUUUUCCAUUUGCUGCUUAAAGGUAACAUCUUCGUAUGGUUGUCUGGUUGCAACCUUUGAGGAGUCUGAGACUGAAACCUUGAGAGUGUUGUUGUUGUUGUGAGCAGGUGAGUCGUGGCAAGAAGUGCUCAUGAGCCAUUUCUCUGCAUCAUCCCACUUAGAAGGGAAGCUCUUUCUUGGAAGGCCAGAGCUGAAGGAGAAAACUGGUCUCCCCGGAGUGGAGGGAGCCUCUAAUAGUCUCC